GUCUACUGCCAUGCCACCCUGAGCAAGCCUGAUGUCUGAUCUGGGAAGCUAAGCAGGGUUGGGCCUCAUUAGUACUUGGAUGGGAGACCACCUAGGAAGACCAGGUGCUGUAGGCA
rnacentral:rRNA from 1 species